rnacentral:tRNA from 1 species
GGGCUCAUUGGUGGGGCAGUUCACCGUCCGUGCGCAGGGUGCGGCGGCGCGGUGUGCCGUUCGCCGUCGAGUUCUC